UUUCUUCCUUGGUUAGGACAACACCCAAUACCAAACCAGCCUAAUAAAAUUGGCCCAAGCAAAAUAAAAUUAUCGAUCUUCCGAAUUUACCCCUAACGUCAAGUCUUGGCCCGUUUAUUUGGUCUAUUUCCUUUAUAUCUUCUUCUCUGCCAAACUCUGAAAUUGGCGGAACAAUAUCUUCUUCUCCGUCCAAAUACCAAAUCCUACCUCAAUCAUCCUUCAACCAACCAGAGCCACCUCAAGAUGCUCAAACCGCAAACAAACCUUCACCAAAUUUGCAACCCCAAAACUUAAGCUGGAGCAUCUCCAUCCCUUUCUCCGAUAUCGCAAAGGUAAGCAUCUUCCAUCCUUCAUCUUUGUUCUAAGAAUUGGAAGUUGCUGUGUAGGACCUUGAUUUUAGGCCAUGGCUUCAGAUUGGAUGAACAAACAAACGACGGUGAUCUCGAGGUUUGCAAAUUCAUGAAUGAUAAGGCCGUUAGACUCCAACAUGCUCAUCAACAACAUCACGACGGUGAUAUGCUUGGAUGAUUACCAUUCCCUAGACAGGGCAGGGAGGAAGAAGAAAGGAGUGACAAAGUCAGAUCCAAGAGCUAACGACUUCGAUCUAACACUAGACCCAAUAGCCUACCUGUUUUCAGUUUCAUAAAUAGUCAAUUUUUGCGUACCCGUUUUUUCAGUUUCGUAAAUGGUUAGUUUCAGAAAUAGCGUAUCUGUUUUUAGGUUCAUAAAUAGUGUACUCAUGUUGAGUUUUAUAAAUAGUUAGUUUCAUAAAUAGUGUACCCGUGUUGAGUUUUAUAAAUAGUCAGUUUCAUAAAUAGUAUACCCGUGUUGUCAGUUUCGUAAA